CUACUCACUCCAGCAUCACAUAUACUAAAACUGGAAGGAUACAGAGAAGAUGAACACAUCCUCUGCAUGAGGAUGACCUAAAAAUUGACAAUAUUCCAUAUUGAA
rnacentral:snRNA from 1 species